AUUGAACGCUGGCGGCAUGCCUUACACAUGCAAGUCGAACGGCAGCACGGGGGCAACCCUGGUGGCGAGUGGCGAGCGGGUGAGUAACAUAUCGGAACAUACCCUAGAGUGGGGGAUAACGUAGCGAAAGUUACGCUAAUACCGCAUACGAUCUAAGGAUGAAAGUGGGGGAUCUUCGGACCUCAUGCUCAUGGAGUGGCCGAUAUCUGAUUAGCUAGUUGGUGAGGUAAAGGCUCACCAAGGCGACGAUCAGUAGCUGGUUUGAGAGAACGACCAGCCACACUGGAACUGAGACACGGUCCAGACUCCUACGGGAGGCAGCAGUGGGGGAAUUUUGG
rnacentral:rRNA from 1 species